rnacentral:rRNA from 1 species
GGCCUGUUGAUUAGGAUUUCAGGUCUAACCUGCCCAAUGAUGUAUUUAAUGGCCGCGGUAUUUUGACCGUGCAAAGGUAGCAUAAUCAUUAGUUUUUUAAUUGGAAACUUGAAUGAAGGGUUGAAUGAGGAAAAUACUGUCUCUGUAGAAAUUUUUUAGAAGUUUAUUUUUAAGUAAAAAAGCUUAAAUUUAUAUAGAAGACGAGAAGACCCUAUAGAGUUUGAUAUUUAUAUUUUUUAAAAAUUUUAGUAUUUAUAAAUUUUUAAAUUAAAUAAAGUAUUUUAUUGGGGUGAUAGAAAAAUUUAAUAAACUUUUUUUUUAUUUAAUCAUAGAUUUAUGAAAAGUUGAUCCUUAUUUUAAGAUUACAAGAAUAAAUUACCUUAGGGAUAACAGCGUGAUUUUUUUUAGAGUUCUUAUCGAAAAAAGAGAUUGCGACCUCGAUGUUGGAUUAAAAUUAAUUAUUGGUGAAGAAGCUAAUAAAUUAGGUCUGUUCGACCUUUAAAAUUUUACAUGAUCUGAGUUUAAACCGGUGUGAG